UGCCCAGCAACUCCUAUCCCUACCUCCUCGUGGUACUAGCCGAAGUACGAGUAACCUUAGGGAAGAUCUGGUAACCAACCCCGGUGGGAACUUUGGUCGUAUGCUGACAGGGAAGA
rnacentral:ribozyme from 1 species